UGUCCGGAUUUAUUGGGCGUAAAGAGCGUGUAGGCGGUUCGGUAAGUCUGUCGUGAAAUCCUGAGGCUCAACCUCGGGCGUGCGAUGGAUACUGCCGGGCUAGAGGAUGGUAGAGGCGAGUGGAAUUCCCGGUGUAGCGGUGAAAUGCGCAGAUAUCGGGAGGAGCACCAGUAGCGAAGGCGGCUCGCUGGGCCAUUCCUGACGCUGAGACGCGAAAGCUAGGGGAGCGAACAGG
rnacentral:rRNA from 1 species